rnacentral:rRNA from 1 species
AGUGAACGCUGGCGGUAGGCCUAACACAUGCAAGUCGAACGGCAGCACAGUAAGAGCUUGCUCUUACGGGUGGCGAGUGGCGGACGGGUGAGGAAUACAUCGGAAUCUACUUUUUCGUGGGGGAUAACGUAGGGAAACUUACGCUAAUACCGCAUACGACCUACGGGUGAAAGCAGGGGAUCUUCGGACCUUGCGCGAUUGAAUGAGCCGAUGUCGGAUUAGCUAGUUGGCGGGUUAAAGGCCCACCAAGGCGACGAUCCGCAGCUGGUCUGAGAGGAUGAUAAGCCACACGGGAACUGGAACACGGACAAGAGUCCUAAGGGAGGCCGCAGUGGGGAAUAGGGGGCAAAAGGCGCAAGCAUGACACAGCCAGACCGCGUGUGUGAAGAAGACCUUCGGGUUGGAAAGCCGUUUUGUUGGGAAAGAAAAGCAGCAGGUUAAUACCCCGCUGUACUGACGGUAACGAAAGAAUAAGCACCGGCUAACUUCGUG